rnacentral:rRNA from 1 species
CCUACGGGAGGCAGCAGUGGGGAAUAUUGCGCAAUGGGCGAAAGCCUGACGCAGCGACGCCGCGUGAGGGAUGAAGGUCUUCGGAUCGUAAACCUCUGUCAGCAGGGAAGAACGGUCACUGUGCUAAUCAGCAGUGAAUUGACGGUACCUGCAAAGGAAGCACCGGCUAACUCCGUGCCAGCAGCCGCGGUAAUACGGAGGGUGCGAGCGUUAAUCGGAAUUACUGGGCGUAAAGCGCUCGUAGGCGGUAUGUCAAGUCAAGGGUGAAAUCCCCGCGCUCAACGUGGGAACUGCAUUUGAAACUGGCAAACUGGAGUGUGUGAGAGGAUAGUGGAAUUCUAGGUGUAGGAGUGAAAUGCGUAGAUAUCUGGAGGAACAUCAGUGGCGAAGGCGACUAUCUGGCACAUAACUGACGCUGAGGAGCGAAAGCGUGGGUAGCAAACAGGAUUAGAUACCCGAGUAGUC